UAACCGUCGUUUCGUCACUUCUUCAUGCUUUCCUCUCUGCCACCACGUUUGUCUUCUGAAUCUCACUGUGAACUUCUUAGUUCUUAAACCCUAAUUUCAACGAUCAUCUCUCUCUCUCUCUCUGUGAAACGAUGGAUCCGUUGUCGGUGUUGCGUGAGUUCACGAUCCGAGGAGAAGACCUAGACAGAAUCGAGCGGGUCGGGGACGAAUACAGGUUCGGAUCGGAGUGCUCGUUCCCGUGCGCGGCGGAGACGGCGUACCGGUCGAAGUCCGGAAGCCUCUACACACUGGAAGCUCUGGUCCAUUACGUGAAGAACCAGCACCUGAAGCACGGCGAGUACAUGCAAUCCACCGUCAAAAACGCCGUCCCGGCGGUCACUCUGCUGGACCGGAAACCCCUCCUCGAUUACCUCACGGGAAGAGUUGCUUCCUCCGAUUCCAUCGACUUCCUCUUGCUCCAGCAGCAGAACGCGCAGAGCCAGAAGAAGAACGAGGAGUACCGACCCGAUCAGGACAACUCCGCGUUUGUUUCCCGGGAAAACGCGAUUGAGGACAUGGAGGUUGAGGAUUUCGGUAAGCCCGGCGAGGAUGUUGAUUAUGUCAUGCUCAUUCGGUCGAACGAGCGACCAUUGAAGAGCCGGGAGGCGAUUCUGGAGUGCAAAAACAGGGAUUUUUAUAGUGUUUUGGUGAAUUCGACAAAGAGGGAGGAGGAAAGGCAGAGGAUUGAGUCGCAGCAGAGGAAAGACGGAUUGGUGGCGAAGAGUAGGCUGAUGGGUGCGGAGGAGAGGGGAGUUGUAGGCUUCGGCGGGAGUGGGGAUAACUCUGGGUUUGAUGCAAACCCUAAGCCGAAGCUUCAUCUUAAAUCUGGGAAGAUUGGAGAAGGUGUGCCGAUAAUCCUGGUGCCGAGUGCUUUUCAGACAUUGAUCACCAUAUACAAUGUGAAGGAGUUUCUUGAAGAUGGGGUUUUCAUACCCACUGAUGUGAAGGCGAAGCAGAUGAAGGGACCAAAGCCCGAUUGUAUUACGGUCCAGAAGAAGUUUAGUAGGGACAGGGAGAGGGUUGUGACUGCUUACGAGGUUAGGGACAAGCCCUCUGCUUUGAAGCAGGAUGAUUGGGACCGGGUCGUGGCUGUUUUUGUGUUGGGGAAGGAAUGGCAGUUCAAGGACUGGCCUUUCAAGGACCAUGUUGAGAUAUUUAACAAGGUUCUUGGCUUUUUCUUGCGAUUUGAAGACGAUAGUAUUGAAUCAGCAAAGACGGCGAAGCAGUGGAAUGUAAAAAUCAUCUCGAUUAGCAAGAACAAACGGCAUCAAGACAGGGCUGCUGCUUUGGAAGUAUGGGAAAAACUGGAAGAAUUUGUCCGGUCUCGGUCACGCUCCUAAUAUCUAACUCUCACAACUAAACAUAAAGAGUGCAAAAGAAUGGUGAAAACCUAUAUAGCUUUGAGGGGAGAGUAGAUGAGGUAAAAUCAGCAUGCUGAGAAGAUUGCAGCUUAGGAAGCUGCAGACAGGAAGGCGAAAAGAGCGAAUGAGAGCUUAAUUGAGCUUCCAUCAGAUGAUGGAGCAGCUUUUGAACCAUUUCCUGGUCCAUUUUCUGUUCCUGCAUUAAGGAGAAUCAGCCAGAGACCCACACGCCAAAUCGACGGUAAGAUUGUAAGAAUCCAGUUUGAGAGAACCCCUUAGUCUCAUACCAAGGACAAGGAGGACAUCACUGCCAAUACUGUAAGAACCAUAAAACCCAUCUCCAUAUUUCAUGAGUUUCAGAUGUCCAAAUGGGUUUUGUUCUGUUUGGAUUUGAUGGAUGUGGUGUCUGAGAAUUGAUGGUUUACCAGUGAGAAUGGGGAAUAUGAACUCUUGCCUACUUUUCUACCAUACUCAUCUGUUCAAACGCGGUUCAUUUCAGACACGAAUACUCGUGGGAAAACUUU